rfam:Ruminococcus albus 8 contig00012, whole genome shotgun sequence.
GCUUCUGUAGCUCAGUCGGUAGAGCAGGGGACUGAAAAUCCCCGUGUCGGUGGUUCAAUUCCACUCGGAAGCA